rnacentral:rRNA from 1 species
CCUACGGGUGGCAGCAGCAGGGAAUUUUCGGCAAUGGGGGGAACCCUGACCGAGCAACGCCGCGUGAACGAAGAAGUUAUUCGUAAUGUAAAGUUCUUUUAACAGGGAAGAAAGAGAAAUUUGACGGUACCUGAGGAAUAAGCCACGGCUAACUACGUGCCAGCAGCCGCGGUAAUACGUAGGUGGCAAGCGUUAUCCGGAUUUAUUGGGUUUAAAGGGUGCGCAGGCGGAAGAUCAAGUCAGCGGUAAAAUUGAGAGGCUCAACCUCUUCGAGCCGUUGAAACUGGUUUUCUUGAGUGAGUGAGAAGUAUGCGGAAUGCGUGGUGUAGCGGUGAAAUGCAUAGAUAUCACGCAGAACUCCGAUUGCGAAGGCAGCAUACUGGCGCUCAACUGACGCUCAUGCACGAAAGUGUGGGUAUCGAACAGGAUUAGAUACCCCGGUAGUC